GAAAUGCGAUAAGUAAUGUGAAUUGCAGAAUUCAGUGAAUCAUCGAAUCUUUGAACGCACAUUGCGCCCGCCAGUAUUCUGGGGGGCAUGCCUGUUCGAGCGUCAUUUCAACCAUCAAGCCCCCGGCUUGUGUUGGGGACCUGCGGCUGCCCGCAGGCCCUGAAAAACAGUGGCGGGCUCGCUGUCACACCGAGCGUAGUAGCAUACAUUCUCGCUCAGGGCGUGCUGCGGGUUCCGGCCGUUAAACGACCUUCAUAACCCAAGGUUGACCUCGGAUCAGGUAGGAAGACCCGCUGAACUUAAGC
rnacentral:misc_RNA from 1 species